UACGUAGGGGGCAAGCGUUGUCCGGAAUCAUUGGGCGUAAAGAGCGUGUAGGCGGCCCGAUAAGUCCGCUGUGAAAGUCCAGGGCUCAACCCUGGAAUACCAGUGGAAACUGUCGGGCUGGAGUCCGGAAGAGGCGAGUGGAAUUCCUGGUGUAGCGGUGAAAUGCGCAGAUAUCAGGAGGAACACCAAUGGCGAAGGCAGCUCGCUGGGACGGUACUGACGCUGAGACGCGAAAGCGUGGGGAGCAAACAGG
rnacentral:rRNA from 1 species